ACGAUACGGGACUCAUCCGAGGCCCCGUAAUCGGAAUGAGUACACUCUAAACCCUUUAACGAGUAUCCAUUGGAGGGCAAGUCUGGUGCCAGCAGCCGCGGUAAUUCCAGCUCCAAUAGCGUAUAUUAAAGUUGUUGCGGUUAAAAAGCUCGUAGUUGGACUUGUGUCCCACGCUGUCGGUUCACCGUUCGUCGGUGUUAACUGGCACGCUUGUGCGGACGUCCUGCCGGUGGAUGCGGUCGGCCGCGGGCCUCUGGUCUGCGUGUCGGCGGUCCGAUGCAAUCCUACCGCGGUGCUCUUCACCGAGUGUCGAGGUGGGCCGGCACGUUUACUUUGAACAAAUUAGAGUGCUCAAAGCAGGCAGUGGUUCGCCUGAAUAUUGUGUGCAUGGAAUAAUGGAAUAGGACCUCGGUUCUAUUUUGUUGGUUUUCGGAACCUGAGGUAAUGAUUAAUAGGGACAGACGGGGGCAUUCGUAUUGCGACGUUAGAGGUGAAAUUCUUGGAUCGUCGCAAGACGAACCUAAGCGAAAGCAUUUGCCAUGAGUGUUUUCAUUAAUCAAGAACGAAAGUUAGAGGUUCGAAGGCGAUCAGAUACCGCCCUAGUUCUAACCAUAAACGAUGCCAGCUAGCGAUCCGCCGAAGUUCCUCCGAUGACUCGGCGGGCAGCUUCCGGGAAACCAAAGCUUUUGGGUUCCGGGGGAAGUAUGGUUGCAAAGCUGAAACUUAAAGGAAUUGACGGAAGGGCACCACCAGGAGUGGAGCCUGCGGCUUAAUUUGACUCAACACGGGAAACCUCACUAGGCCCGGACACCGGAAGGAUUGACAGAUUGAUAGCUCUUUCUU
rnacentral:rRNA from 1 species